AAGGUAAGUACAAUACAUGAAGCCAAGGUAAGUACAAUACAUGAAGCCAAGGUAAGUACAAUACAUGAAGCCAAGGUAAGUACAAUACAUGAAGCCAAGGUAAGUACAAUACAUGAAGCCAAAGUUAU